AAGUCUGAUGGAGCAACGCCGCGUGAGCGAUGAAGGCCUUCGGGUCGUAAAGCUCUGUUGUUAGGGAAGAACAAGUACCGGAGUAACUGCCGGUACCUUGACGGUACCUAACCAGAAAGCCACGGCUAACUACGUGCCAGCAGCCGCGGUAAUACGUAGGUGGCAAGCGUUGUCCGGAAUUAUUGGGCGUAAAGCGCGCGCAGGCGGUCCUUUAAGUCUGAUGUGAAAGCCCACGGCUCAACCGUGGAGGGUCAUUGGAAACUGGGGGACUUGAGUGCAGAAGAGGAAAGCGGAAUUCCACGUGUAGCGGUGAAAUGCGUAGAGAUGUGGAGGAACACCAGUGGCGAAGGCGGCUUUCUGGUCUGUAACUGACGCUGAGGCGCGAAAGCGUGGGGAGCAAACAGGAUUAGAUACCCUGGUAGUCCACGCCGUAAACGAUGAGUGCUAAGUGUUAGGGGGUUUCCGCCCCUUAGUGCUGCAGCUAACGCAUUAAGCACUCCGCCUGGGGAGUACGG
rnacentral:rRNA from 1 species